rnacentral:tRNA from 1 species
AUUAGCUCAGCUGGGAGAGCAUCUGCCUUACAAGCAGAGGGUCGGCGGUUCGAGCCCGUCAU